AACUGCAUUACAAGCUUCAAUCAUAUCAACUACAGUAGCAUUUCAAGGAGAUGAGUGCUCAUUAACGCUUGCUGGUGGCUCCUUGGCAUGCAGUGUGGAGGUGGCAAGAGAGCAUGAGGUUUAGCGUGGCCCUAAAAGAUGAUCUUCUCACAUUUAAAGACUCAACGUCCAACAACAUCUUAAAAGUCAGUGUUUCAAGGAAAACAUCUGCCCUAAAUUCUUGCACAGGCAUUUUUGCUGUGAGUAAAAAUGAAUAAAGG
rnacentral:lncRNA from 1 species